CUUGAACUCUGGCGGCCGGCCUAACACAUGCAAGUCGAGCGAGCGGCGGACGGGUGAGUACUGUCUGGUAAACUGCCUGAUGGAGGGGGAUAACUACUGGAAACGGUGGCUAAUACCGCAUACCCUCAGAUGUGCCCCGCUGGGAUUAGCUAGGCGGUGGGGUAACGGCUCACCUAGGCGACGCUCCCUAGCUUGUCUGAGAGGAUGACCAGCCACACUGGAACUGAGACACGGUCCAGACGCCUACGGGAGGCAGCAGUGGGGAAUAUUGCACAAUGGGCGCAAGCCUGAUGCAGCCAUGCCGCGUGUAUGAAGAAGGCCUUCGGGUUGUAAAGUACUUUCAGCGGGGAGGCGUUACCCGAAGAAGAAGCACCGGCUAACUACGUGCCAGCAGCCGCGGUAAUAC
rnacentral:rRNA from 1 species